AGCAGCAAAAGAACGCGGGGUAAAGUCAGUAGCGUAAAAAAUAAUAAAUAGAAGUUAAUUCUCUUGCAAUUCAAUACAGAAGCAUCGUCUUCGUAUCCAAUUACCCUGUUGGUUACACUUCACCUCCACCAAUACAACUCUCCACUGCUGACUGAGGAGCUUCGCAACUGACACAUGUCCCCUUCGACACGUCAGCAGUACCAACUGCCUCUUUUCCCCUGCACAAGGACUGUUGGUGCUAAAUAUUGGUUGCAGCACUAUUCUCACCCCAGAACUGACAAUGAGGUGUUUAAAAAGCCAAUAAACACUGCUGCACCUACUUCACAUGCUACAUUUAUGCUGUCAAGUCACAUUAGUACUUUCUAUUUUUGACGGCGGCAGCGCGUAGCUCAUGAAGGAAGUCAUGUUACAUGGCUAUAAAUGUCCGACAUAGGUUGGAAGAGCCUGCAAGUACUACCCUGGUCUCCUAAUUUUCCAGACUUUAACCCAACUGAGCAUCUGUUGGUCGUUUUCGCUCUAUGGAUCCUGCCCCAUGCACCCUCCAGCAGUUGUGGGAUGCACUGCAGUCAGCAUGGCUCCAGAUACCUGUGACAACCUACCAGGACCUUAGUGAGUCACUCCCAUCCUGUCUAGCUGCUGUCUGUGCUGCAAACAGCAGUUACUCUGGAUAUUAGCUGGUGGUCAUAAUAAUUUGACUGUGUAUUUUAACAGUUAAUUUCUCCAUUGAUUUGCCUUAAUGCAAGCUUUGUUCUCUUCUUUGUAAAUCUUAGAAAUUAAUAUAAUUGUAUAGUGCUUAAAACAUUUAUUUACACUACUUUAAACAACUGUUUGCCUUUCCUCAAAAGGUUUAAGUAUGGUGGUCAUGUUACUGUUUCUUUUUUUCCCCCACACAGAUUACAACCAUUCAAGGUUAUAAAUAAUUUUGUGAGCCCAUCAAGGAAAUACAAAAUAAUGUCUGAUUGAAACACUUGAAAUGCUGGAUGUGGGAAAAAAAAUAGCCGCCAUGCCUGUCACUAAGUGUAAAUUUUUUUCUCACCCUAAUCACAGCAUAUAGGACAACAAAUUGAACAUUUGGAGCACAAUAUUUCUCAUUUAUAGACUAAUUUUUUUAAUAUAAAAAAAAACCUAAUUUGCAUAUUCUGUUUAAUGUUAGUGUUU